UACGUAGGGUGCGAGCGUUGUCCGGAAUUAUUGGGCGUAAAGAGCUCGUGGGCGGCUUGUCGCGUCGGAUGUGAAAGCCCGGGGCUUAACUCCGGGUCUGCAUUCGAUACGGGCAGGCUAGAGUUCGGUAGGGGAGAUCGGAAUUCCUGGUGUAGCGGUGGAAUGCGCAGAUAUCAGGAGGAACACCGAUGGCGAAGGCAGAUCUCUGGGCCGUAACUGACGCUGAGGAGCGAAAGCAUGGGGAGCGAACAGG
rnacentral:rRNA from 1 species